rnacentral:lncRNA from 1 species
UGGUUGUUGGAUGGAUCAGGAUGAGCAGUUAUUCCAUGCUUUUAUCUCCAUCCUCUUGCUUAUCUUUAGUAUAAUCAAGUUCCUAAAGAAUAGAAUCCUAGAGCGGAGAGUGGUUCCUGGAGACGAUCUGCUGGAGGUGAUCUGCUGCACCGUCUGUGGGCGAUGCCUGGGUUAUCACAGGCAGGUGACGGCUAAGCUUUUCCUAUUAACUGCAUUCUCACGGCGAGACAAAUUCUUCAUGUAGAAAGAUGAUUUGGCUGUUGAGAGAUGAGAGUGGACAUAGUGUCUGUCAUCUGCCCUAUGAUGUUGAACACCUGCCAUGUGCACACACUGUCCUAGGGACAAAGUCCUCUGCUUACACAGCUUACCCUCCACGGUGAGAGUGGAAAAAACAAACAAACAAAAAAACAAAUUGGGGAAGGACUGGCCCACAAAUAAUGCUUGACCUUAGAAGAUAUCCCAAGCCCUGGGUUGGGAGAGUUGUAUGAAAUAUUUAUUUUGUAAUGAAUUAAACUUUUACUGCAAUAGAUAACUGGAAGGAAAAGUUCUAUUGUCAGACAAGACACCUGUGCUCUGUUAUUGAAAUAAGGAAAUUAAAGCUAAUGGCACUGAAGGGGAAAUAAUAAAAAUGCUUUUCUGGUCACAUGUUAUUAACCAUAAUAAAAUAAAUAGAAG